GUCGAGCGGAACGAUGAAGAGCCUGGUCCCUUUGCUGACGAGCGGCGGACGGGUGACUAAUGCCUGACCUGAUGCCUUAAUGGGGGGGAUACCUGGAAAAAACGACUACUACCACCGCAUUCCUUUCCCCGACCGAAGAAGGGGACCUUCAGGCCUCCCGCGCUAAGAUUACCCCGGGUGGGAUUAGCUAUUUGGUGGGGGAAAGGCUCACCAAGGCCCCGAUCCCUAACUGGUCUCAGACGAUGAUCGGCCACCCUGGAACUGAGACCUGGUCCCCACUCCUACCGGAGGCAGCAGUGGGGAAUAUUGCUCAAUGGGGGAAACCCUGAUGCAGCCAUGCCGCGUGCGUGAAGAAGGCCUUCGGUUUGUAAAGUACUUUCUUUCGUGAGGAAGACAUUGUGGUUAACGUCUGCAGUGGUUGACGCUUGCGACAGACCAACCACCAGCUCACUCCUUGCCUACUGCCGCGGUAAUACGGAAGGUGCGAGCGGUAAUCGGAAUUCCUGAGUGUUAGGCGCAUGCAGGCGGUUAGUUGAUUUAUAUGUGAAAGCCCGGGGCUCAACCUCUCAACCGCGUUUGGAACUGGCUAACUGGAGACUUGUAGAGGGGAGUAGAAUUUCGGGUGUACCGGUGAAAUGCGUAAAGAUCUGAAUGAAUACCGGAGGCCAAGGGGGCCCCCUGACUUACGACUGACUCUCAGAUGCGAAAGCGUGAGGAGCAGAGAGGAUUACAUACCUUGAUAGUCUGCGCCGCAAACCAUGACUACUUGAAGGUUGUGGCUUUGAGCCUUGCCUCUCUUAGCUGACGCGUUAAGCACACCACCUGGCGAGUACGGGCGCAAGAUUCAAACUCAUAUGAAUUGACGGAUUGCCCGCAUGCAAGUCGUUUAGUUAAGUCGAGANGUAAAAGCCCACGGGUUCAACCGUCGAGNGUGCAUUUAGACUUGGGAACCUAAGAGUCAGAUAGAGAAAGGGAGAUUUUCAGUGGUACCGGGGAAAGGGGAAAUGAUCUGAAGGACUACAGGUGGGGAAGGGGGUCUCCUGUACAAAGAUGACCGCUCAGAUGAAAAGCGUGGGAGCCAACCAGGAUUAGAUACCUGGGUAGUCCACCCGUAAACGAUGAUCUAUAAGGANUAGAGGGCUUUCACCCUUUAGUUUUGCAGCUAACGCAUUAAGCAGUCCGCCUGGGGAGUACGGUCGCAAGAUUAAAACUCAAAGGAAUUGACGGGGGCCCGCACAAGCGGUGGAGCAUGUGGUUUAAUUCGAAGCAACGCGAAGAACCUUACCAGGUCUUGACAUCCUGAGAAACCCGUGGAGAUACGGCUUUCCCUUUGGGAGGUCAGAGACACAGGUGGCACAGGGGUGUUCUCAUCUUGUUUUGAAAGAUUGGGGUAAAUCUCCCACAGAGAGCACCCCCCAUCCUUUUAGUCCCCCGCAUUCAGGUGGGCACUCCAGGGAGACUGCCGGUGACAAACCGGAGGAAGGUGGGGAUGACGUCAAGUCAUCAUGCCCCUUAUGACUAGGGCUACACACGUGCUACAAUGGCGGGUACAGAGGGCAGCCAACCCGCGAGGGUGAGCCAAUCCCACAAAGCCCUUCGUAGUUCGGAUCGGAGUCUGCAACUCGCCUCCAUGAAGUCGGAAUCGCUAGUAAUCGUGAAUCAGCAUGUCACGGUGAAUACGUUCCCGGGCCUUGUACACACCGCCCGUCACACCAUGGGAGUGGGUUGCACCAGAAGUAGGUAGGGUAACCUUCGCAACGGCCUG
rnacentral:rRNA from 1 species